AUGGCUCAGAAUGAACGCUGGCGGCAUGCCUAACACAUGCAAGUCGAACGAAGCCUUCGGGUUUAGUGGCGCACGGGUGCGUAACGCGUGGGAAUCUGCCCCUUGGUUCGGAAUAACAGUUGGAAACGACUGCUAAUACCGGAUGAUGACGUAAGUCCAAAGAUUUAUCGCCGAGGGAUGAGCCCGCGUAGGAUUAGGUAGUUGGUGUGGUAAAGGCGCACCAAGCCGACGAUCCUUAGCUGGUCUGAGAGGAUGAUCAGCCACACUGGGACUGAGACACGGCCCAGACUCCUACGGGAGGCAGCAGUGGGGAAUAUUGGACAAUGGGCGAAAGCCUGAUCCAGCAAUGCCGCGUGAGUGAUGAAGGCCUUAGGGUUGUAAAGCUCUUUUACCCGGGAUGAUAAUGACAGUACCGGGAGAAUAAGCUCCGGCUAACUCCGUGCCAGCAGCCGCGGUAAUACGGAGGGAGCUAGCGUUAUUCGGAAUUACUGGGCGUAAAGCGCACGUAGGCGGCUUUGUAAGUAAGAGGUGAAAGCCCAGAGCUCAACUCUGGAAUUGCCUUUUAGACUGCAUCGCUUGAAUCAUGGAGAGGUCAGUGGAAUUCCGAGUGUAGAGGUGAAAUUCGUAGAUAUUCGGAAGAACACCAGUGGCGAAGGCGGCUGACUGGA
rnacentral:rRNA from 1 species